rnacentral:rRNA from 1 species
ACUCCUACGGGAGGCAGCAGUGGGGAAUAUUGCACAAUGGGCGCAAGCCUGAUGCAGCCAUGCCGCGUGUAUGAAGAAGGCCUUCGGGUUGUAAAGUACUUUCAGCGGGGAGGAAGGCGAUAAGGUUAAUAACCUUGUUGAUUGACGUUACCCGCAGAAGAAGCACCGGCUAACUCCGUGCCAGCAGCCGCGGUAAUACGGAGGGUGCAAGCGUUAAUCGGAAUUACUGGGCGUAAAGCGCACGCAGGCGGUCUGUCAAGUCGGAUGUGAAAUCCCCGGGCUCAACCUGGGAACUGCAUUCGAAACUGGCAGGCUAGAGUCUUGUAGAGGGGGGUAGAAUUCCAGGUGUAGCGGUGAAAUGCGUAGAGAUCUGGAGGAAUACCGGUGGCGAAGGCGGCCCCCUGGACAAAGACUGACGCUCAGGUGCGAAAGCGUGGGGAGCAAACAGGAUUAGAUACCCCGGUAGUCCCAUGA